GAAAGGACUUCUACCUUGGUAACCGGGCCUGAGGUUCAUUUAUGUUUUUCAGGAUCUUUUUGUGGCUUCUGAGGUUUAAAGGAAGAAAAAAAAGGUUUUAGCGCACACCGCUGGCCUCAAACACAAGCUUGAACACGUUUUCGGAGGAGGAAACUGGUGACCAUUCCUGAUGCUGCUGUCUUAACUCCGCAGCUUUUUCAACCUGUUUCACAUCGCCCUUGGCUUGUUGCUGCGCUUCGACAUCCGAUAACAACUCUUUAAGUUCAUCUAUAUCUGAAGGCCUUGAAUAGUUGUGCUCCGGAACCAUUGUCUUUCUCCACGAUGAUAAUGACGAUGAUGAUGAUACUAAUGAUGAUGACGAGGAUGAUGAUGACGAUAAAUUUUCGUUAGGGUCAUCGUCUGCACAGCUGGGAGCCUUGCUAAACGCACCUGUUAGCGAUAAGAUGGACGAAGUUGAAAGCGCACUUACCUCUCCCCUAACCUACAUUAACCAAUCAUAUUUGACUGUUAGGGGUUGAUGCAGUUGCUCAGACUCUUACAUUUAUCCGCAGACUUCAGAUGUACUACGGGCACAAUACCGUGCAUGCACUACGGGCACUGUAGAUUACCUCAUCGACAAUUUCUUGAUCAAGCAGAAACUCAUAUAGAAGGCGGAGAAAGUAAUUUUUAAGCCUUUAACAGUUGUUGAGUUAGAGUACUCUUAACUUACUAGUUGUUUGAUUAAUUUGGUUUUAUAUUAUAGCUGAUUUCGAUCGAUACUUAAGUUCACUACUCGAGAAGUGUUAAAUGUCAUUUCACCGGCGAAUGUUAAAUGUUACUUUUGAGCACAGAAAUUAUUCAAGUGAAAUUUGUAAGGAACAAAUAAUAUGUAUUUGACCUGCCGUACAAUAACAAAAUGAUAUUUUUGACAUCGUGGACUACUUUUGUUUCGCAAUCAAAUCUGAGACCUGGCAGCAAGUUGAGGGAAAUCAAUUUCCGUUGUGAAUUGUCGUAAUUACUUCACAUGCGUCAAAAUAUGCCAUUUUGGAUGAAGCUAAGUAUAUUGCAAGUAGUCCUAGAUUUUCAUCUCAGUCUGAAGCGAGAGCCUUCAGUAAAAGACUGCAAAGGGUCCCGUACCACCUGACCCCUCUUGUUAAUAACACAAUUAUAAGGUCGGUUUCCCUUCGCGUUCGUAAGACUGUUAAAGAAAAACUAAAUCAAAAUAAAAGGCAGAUUAGAAGGGAACUAUAGUAAGUCAAGUAUGAGUAAGACUAUAAUUGUUAAACUCGAUUGUUCAAUAAAGAGAUUUGUUCA